AUUUCAACAACAGCAGUUUGACAACACAGCUUUUCCUCCCUGCUCCCUACAUAAUGCACUUUCUAUGGCUGCAUGGAUCAGUGGAUGUGGAGUCUGGAAGCUUAGCUUUGAGUCCCAGAUCUCCAGCUUAGUAUCUUUGUGACCUUUGGCAAGUCUCUAAGUUUCUCAAAUCCUCAGUUCACUCAUCUGUCAACAAGGAAUAAGAGUAGGGUGUUUCUGAGUAUAAAUAAGAUAAAAGAUGUAAAGAAACUGCUUUGUAAACAUCAAAGAGCUAUAUAAAUUUUAGUUGUUCCUGCCUGUAAAACUGGAGUGGAGGUCUGGUGUUUGGAUAAGAUGACCUCUGAAGCUCUUCUUAUAUCUACAUAUAGGAUCCUGUGAUCCUAAAAAGAGCACUGAAAUUAAGAAAGAAGUGUAGCACAGUGGAAAGAGCAUGGGCAGUUAGAACAAGACAAAGAGAUAAGGGAAGCAUGCUCCAGCUGUUGAUUCUACUACCCUGAAUGGAAAGCUUGAUUAAUUUAUACACUUUAAAAGAUGAAUUGUUUUUUCCUAUUGCAUGUAAAAAUAAUGUCUUUAACAUUCAUCUUCUUAAAGUUUCAAGUUCUAAAUUCUCUUCUUUCUUCUGACCCUACUUCUCUCCUCCUUGCCCUUCUCUGUCCCUAAGAUGGUAAGCAAUCUGAUAUAGAUUUUCCAUGUACAAUCAUGGAAAACAUUUUUCAAAAUUAAUCAUUUUGUGGAUGAAAUCCAAAAUGGAGGAGAAGGACAAAGAGGAGAGGGGGAGAGGGAAGGGAGGAGGAGGAAGGGAAUAAUGAAAAUGAAGAAGAAGAAGAAGAAGAAGAAGAAGAAGAAGAAGAAGAAGAAGAAGAAGAAGAAGAAGAAGAAGAAGAAGAAGAAGAAGAAGAAGAAGAAGAAGAAGAAGAAGAAGAAGAAGAAGAAGAAGAAGAAGAAGAAGAUGGAGGAGGAGGAGGAGGAAUGAAGGAAGGAAGGAAAAAUGAAAUAUAUUUCAGUCUGCGUUCAGACUCAAUUAGUUCUUUCUUACUGGUAUUAUCUUGGAUCAUAGCAUUGCUGAGAAAAAAUAUUGCUAUCACUGUGUACAAAGUUUUUUCUGGUUUUGCUCACCUCAGUUUUCAUUAGUUCAUUUAAGUCUUUACAGAUUUUUCUUUUAUUAAUUAAUUAUUAUUUUUUUUUAUUUAUUGAGUCAAUUUAGAA
rnacentral:lncRNA from 1 species